UACGUAGGGUGCAAGCGUUGUCCGGAAUUAUUGGGCGUAAAGAGCUCGUAAGCGGUUUGUUGCGUCGGCUGUGAAAUCCCGAGGCUCAACCUCGGGUCUGCAGUCGAUACGAGCAAACUAGAGUGUUGCAGGGGAGACUGGAAUUCCUGGUGUAGCGGUGAAAUGCGCAGAUAUCAGGAGGAACACCGGUGGCGAAGGCGGGUCUCUGGGCCGUAACUGACGCUGAGGAGCGAAAGCAUGGGGGAGCGAACAGG
rnacentral:rRNA from 1 species